AGAGUUUGAUUAUGGCUCAGGAUGAACGCUGGCGGCGUGCUUAACACAUGCAAGUCGAACGAAGCAAUUAAGCGGAAGUUUCGGAUGGAAGCUUAAUUGACUUAGUGGCGGACGGGUGAGGAACCCGUGGGUAACCUGCCUUAUACUGGGGGAUAACAGUUGGAAACGACUGCUAAUACCGCAUAAUAAAGAAUAUCGCAUGAUUUUCUUUUGAAAUAUUUAUAGGUAUAAGAUGGACCCGCGUCUGAUUAGCUAGUUGGUGAGGUAACUGCUCACCAAGGCGACGAUCAGUAGCCGGCUUGAGAGAGUGACCGGCCACAUUGGGACUGAGACACGGCCCAAACUCCUACGGGAGGCAGCAGUGGGGAAUAUUGCACAAUGGGGGAAACCCUGAUGCAGCGACGCCGCGUGAGUGAAGAAGUAUUUCGGUAUGUAAAGCUCUAUCAGCAGGGAAGAUAAUGACGGUACCUGACUAAGAAGCCCCGGCUAACUACGUGCCAGCCGCCGC
rnacentral:rRNA from 1 species